rnacentral:lncRNA from 1 species
UGAUGAUGUUUUAAUGAAUUUAAUUCAAUCAGCUACCUGAACAACAAAGGAUUGAGUUCAGAUUGAGCACUCGAGCUCGAGCUUGAUGGUUUAAUCUGAGCCCAAACGGAUUGAGAUAACUAGUCGAUUACUUACACGCUGAAGCUACAGUGACAUUUCGAACAGAUACGAUAAAGACCGAGGCGUCGCCCAGCUAUUUAGUAUUUUUCAUAAGGUGCCAAAUAAAAGCAUAAAUCACUUUCUUGUAGAUCAGUACGUUUCAUCAUUACUUGCAAUAACAAAAAACAAAGUAAUAAGAGGAAGUAGACAUAUAAAGGAAAUCCAGAGAAAACUCAUAAAUGUUCCAUAAAAACUCCCAAAGAGCAUUCAAAUUAUCACAAAUUUUAUUAAAACAACUAAACGAUAUUGAUCUUCGCUGAUUUUCAACUCCGAAGCUUUGCAAUUUGAGGCGUUUG